rnacentral:rRNA from 1 species
GACUUUGAUCCUGGCUCAGGAUGAACGCUAGCUACAGGCUUAACACAUGCAAGUCGAGGGGAAACGACAUCGAAAGCUUGCUUUUGAUGGGCGCCGACCGGCGCACGGGUGAGUAACGCGUAUCCAACCUGCCCACCACUUGGGGAUAACCUUGCGAAAGUAAGACUAAUACCCAAUGAUAUCUCUAGAAGACAUCUGAAAGAGAUUAAAGAUUUAUCGGUGAUGGAUGGGGAUGCGUCUGAUUAGCUUGUUGGCGGGGUAACGGCCCACCAAGGCAACGAUCAGUAGGGGUUCUGAGAGGAAGGUCCCCCACAUUGGAACUGAGACACGGUCCAAACUCCUACGGGAGGCAGCAGUGAGGAAUAUUGGUCAAUGGACGAGAGUCUGAACCAGCCAAGUAGCGUGCAGGAUGACGGCCCUAUGGGUUGUAAACUGCUUUUAUAAGGGAAUAAAGUGAGUCUCGUGAGACUUUUUGCAUGUACCUUAUGAAUAAGGACCGGCUAAUUCCGUGCCAGCAGCCGCGGUAAUACGGAAGGUCCGGGCGUUAUCCGGAUUUAUUGGGUUUAAAGGGAGCGUAGGCCGGAGAUUAAGCGUGUUGUGAAAUGUAGACGCUCAACGUCUGCACUGCAGCGCGAACUGGUUUCCUUGAGUACGCACAAAGUGGGCGGAAUUCGUGGUGUAGCGGUGAAAUGCUUAGAUAUCACGAAGAACUCCGAUUGCGAAGGCAGCUCACUGGAGCGCAACUGACGCUGAAGCUCGAAAGUGCGGGUAUCGAACAGGAUUAGAUACCCUGGUAGUCCGCACGGUAAACGAUGGAUGCCCGCUGUUGGUCUGAAUAGGUCAGCGGCCAAGCGAAAGCAUUAAGCAUCCCACCUGGGGAGUACGCCGGCAACGGUGCAACUCAAAGGAAUUGACGGA